UCCUAGUUUAGUAAAAAUUUCACUGGGCAUAUGAAACCAAAACCUUUUUUCAUGUUUUAGAAAUGAUCUUAAUAGUUUCAUUAAUGUAUUCAAUAUCAAUAGCCUUAAGUCCACCUUCCUCAUAUUCUUUAACCAUAGUGCCUUUCUUAAUAUAGUGUGUUUUCCUUUUCCAGAUAUAACUGAAAUUAGCUUGGUUUAUGGCUUUUAUUGCAUUUUUGGGAAGUGAUAAGGAGUAAGCUGGGUAGAUGAAUCGGGAAAUGCACUCCAUUUCUGUAAGAAGAAUUCGGCCGAUGAUAGAGAUGUCUCUUUGAGACCAGGAAUUUAGAUGAGAUUUACAUAAUUUAAAUAUUACUUAUAUUACAGCAAGAACAUAAUCAGAUGUAUUGUUAGAAGGUGGCUGCAGUAGAAGAAGAAAGUUUAAGUUAAAUGACUGUGAAGUCAGACUAAAUCGAUUCAUAAUGCUGUCAGCGAAGCAUUCAGACUGAAAUAAAACGACAAUCACGUCUUUUAUCAGUUUUAUUUCAGUCAAAUAUUGACCCUCAGAUACUGAGGUGAAAGUCUUAAAGUCACAGUCUGAUCAUCUGCUGUUCACUUCAUACUCUAAUACACAGUCAGAGUACUAAUACUACAGUGCAGAAAUACUACAAGUCCUGCUUUCCAGUAAAAGUACAGAAGUAUUAGCAUCAAAAUCAACCUAAAGUAUGAAAAGUUCUGGCCCUCAUUAUGCAGAUGUCAGAGUGAUGUUCUUUAUAGACCUUUCAACCAGAGUUACAGACGGCUCUACUGUAAAAACAAAGAAUAAAAGUCAAUAAUAAUCCAGAAACAAAAAGAUAUAUAAAAUAAGAUAAAAUCAUUUAAACAAUUCUAGCAAAUACCCUCAGUUAAGAAAUAAGAUAAGAUAAGAAACUACUUUAUUUAUCCUGAUACAAUGAUCGUUAUAGCUUGUGGGAAUAAUUAUAAACAAUAAUAAUAAAAAACAACAAGUAGUAAUUAUACUACUUCUUCUACUAUUAUUAUUAAUAAUAAUAAUAAUAAUAAUAAUAAUAAAAAACAAUAAAAUAUAAUAAAUUAAUUAAAUUUAAAAGUGGUAAAGCUCUAGACUUUAGGGGCUCCACACAACACAAAGUGUGAAACAGUGCAAAUAAAACAAAAUAUAAAAAAUAAAUCAUAUAAAAUAAUAAAAUAAUAAUAAUAAUAAUAAUAAUUAAUUAAUUAAAAUCAGAUAAAGCAAAAUAUAAAUAAUAAAAUAUAAACUGUGAAAUAUAAACAAUAAAAUAAAGAUAAGAAAUAAUGAGGUCUACUGUUAACCCUAACCCUAAACAGCUGUAGUUAGACACAAUCAUUAUGAUUAAAAUCAUAAUCACACUGCCCUCCUGUGGACAAAGAGCAUAACUACAUCUCUUGCUCUUUUAUUUUGAAAGAUGUAACCGGAAGUGUGUCUUGUAUGUAACCACUGGCGUGUUCAGGGAGUGGCCUUGGGUGGCACAGGCCACCCCUGAAAUCUGAUUGGCCACCCUAAUAUCUUACAAUAUGAUUGGCUAUAUGCCCAGUCAGAGGCGGGCCACGGCACUGAAUGUAAACUGCACUCUUGUUUAGAGUUGCAGUUCCUUCUCAAACCUGAGAGGCAGAGAUGCGCUAAAGUAGUAUGUAGCCUGCAAAAAAAAAAAGGCGCGAAGAAGAAGAAGUUUGAGCAGGUGAACCUCCAGGUGAACCAAACUGUUUUUCUACAGUCAGUCUAUGGAAGCAACACGUCUCUGGAGCGUCGUCGUGAAAGAUGUGAGUAGCCUACAUUUUACUACACUUACUGUGCCUGUAGUUAAACGCUGUAACGGUAAUAAACUAAACAUUACCCUGUCUUGUUUUAUUUCUUUUUAUUGUAAUAGGCACAAGGCUGUCAAAACAGAUUGGGUCUCUUGAAUGGUAAUACUAGGUAAUACUAGAGUAACCAACACUGUAGCACAUGUAAAGUUUAUAAUUUGUUUGGUUAAAUAAUUAGUUCAAAGAGGCGUAUGUAUUUUAAAUAUGUUUGCACUUUAUAGGCGGAGAGUGACUGUGUUUUAAUGUGCAUUGUUUUCUUAUGUUGGCUUUUGGAGUCACAGGUUAUUUUGUAGCAUUAUUACUGUAACAAAUCAGUGUUGAAACAAGAUUUGUUACAAGUGAUGUAAGCUUUUUUUAUGCACACAUAAGCUCUGGUAAGGUCAGCUAUCUCUGUUGAUAAAAUAUUCUACACGGUCUGUACCUCCAACCAUUUACAUUGUUGCACAUGUAAAGUUUUGCACAGUUUUGUCAAGUAAAUAUUUUGCCCAAAGAGUCUUAUUUAUUUUAAUUUUGUUGGCACUUUAUAAAGUGACUGUUUUAGAAUAAGGAUUUUCUUUUGGAUGUAACCUACUUUGGGAAUUUACUAAUUAUUUUGGCAUUAUUUAACAGUUCACUUUACAAUGUUAAAACAAGAUUUGCUGGUAUGUGAGGAGGGAUGUGACUUUUGUUUAUACCUGGGAGUUCAGGUUUCUCUGUUGCUGAGAAUACUACAGUAACUUACUACACUGUGGCACAUGUGACAAGUUUUGUCAAGUAAAUGUGUUGCCCCAAACAGGCUUAUUUAUUGUAAUUUUGAUGGCACUUUAUACAGAAAGUGCAUUGUCUUUUUUGUAUGUACUGUAUAUCAUACCUUGGAAGGUUGUUUUGAGGUUAGAAUAAAGUAUGGUAGUUUUCAA